rnacentral:rRNA from 1 species
GUGUCAGCAGCCGCGGUAAUACGUAGGGUGCGAGCGUUAAUCGGAAUUACUGGGCGUAAAGCGUGCGCAGGCGGUUUUGUAAGACAGGCGUGAAAUCCCCGGGCUCAACCUGGGAACUGCGCUUGUGACUGCAAGGCUAGAGUAUGGCAGAGGGGGGUGGAAUUCCACGUGUAGCAGUGAAAUGCGUAGAGAUGUGGAGGAACACCAAUGGCGAAGGCAGCCCCCUGGGCCAAUACUGACGCUCAUGCACGAAAGCGUGGGUAGCAAACAGGAUUAGAUACCCUUGUAGUCC